UCUGGGCUCGCGGUUGAGGCCGGCCUUCCUUUGUCGCCCCUCAGUUACCGCCCCGGCCCCGAACCUCACCUAUGUCGCUUGGCCGCGUUAGCCAGGUGCGACGCGGCAAAGCAAGCACCGAUGGGGAUGACUGGUGUGGAACAGUCUCUCCCGUGACACACAUGGAGUCUGUCUGUACGCAAAACCCACUGCUUGUGGGUUGGUACUGAGUUAAAUUCUUACGAAAAAACGCCACAGGGAAAACGUAUUCAACGAAGGCAGAAGAUCAUUCAAACCAGCCCCCAAAAAUUGUUGAGCCAGGUCUGCGUGGUUCACUGGUUUACAUCACAGCAGUGUUUGGAAGGUAGUGACAUCCCAGCUGAUCCAGAAUUAAAAAGUUUCCCAGGUGGAUCUAACCUUCUGUUUAUGAUGCUGAUUUUUGAUUCAUGGAAAUAACAUCUAAACCAGAUUUUUCAUUAGAGAUGUGAUCUCCGUGGAACCCAGCUAUGUUGGGUGUCCAAAAAGAAAACUGGCAUGAUCCUAUGCGUCAGUCUUUGGAGAGCCUGCAUAACCUUAGCCAAGAAGUUAUGAAGUGUCUUGAAAAUUUAGCAAGAACUGGCAAAACAUAUGAAAAUACCUAUCAGAGGCAACUGAUGACUGAGUAUUUAUCUCUGUGGCAAUUAUUCAAGCAGAGGACAAAUACAGCAGACACAGAAGCAAUGCAGAAAUUCACUUCCAAGACUGCUAUUAAACUGCUGAGAAAUCAGAAUCAGCCUGUCAGUGAUUUCAGUGAGGGUCUGCUCAGACUGCCAGAAAGGAACGGUUAUUGAAUUUCCAUGCUGAGUUUGCUGCUGCCAACAGAGUUUGUAAGCUGCUGUUCCUAUAACUAUUUGAAACUAAGUUUCAGACUGCAGUGUCUACAUCAGCUUCAUCAUAAAGCUCCAGGUGAAUACUUAAAUAUGUUUGUACACAUAUUACAACAUUUCUGGGCAUUCUUACAGAGGUAGUGCAUCUGUUUUUCCACACAAAUAUUUGUUCUGUUUGCUUUAUAUCAAAAGAACAUAAACACAACUGGGACAAUAUGAAGGUAAUUACAAGGUAAGGAAAUAUGCAUGGAGGAGACAUUAAUGUCUAACUACAUCCAAAGCAACACCUUCUCCACAUUAAGAAGAAUUUAGCUUCAAUUAAUUAUCUCACUGAAUGUGUGCUUCUUCACUGCUUUGUGUAAUAAUAUGCACAAUACCUUCCUUGGAAAAGAUGCCUCUACAUAGUGUAGAGCUUGUUUGUGUUAUGUUCAUAGU